rnacentral:rRNA from 1 species
GAUGAACGCUGGCGGCGUGCCUAAUACAUGCAAGUCGAGCGAACAGACGAGGAGCUUGCUCCUCUGACGUUAGCGGCGGACGGGUGAGUAACACGUGGAUAACCUACCUAUAAGACUGGGAUAACUUCGGGAAACCGGAGCUAAUACCGGAUAAUAUAUUGAACCGCAUGGUGCAAUAGUGAAAGACGGCUUUGCUGUCACUUAUAGAUGGAUCCGCGCCGCAUUAGCUAGUUGGUAAGGUAACGGCUUACCAAGGCAACGAUGCGUAGCCGACCUGAGAGGGUGAUCGGCCACACUGGAACUGAGACACGGUCCAGACUCCUACGGGAGGCAGCAGUAGGGAAUCUUCCGCAAUGGGCGAAAGCCUGACGCAGCAACGCCGCGUGAGUGAUGAAGGUCUUCGGAUCGUAAAACUCUGUUAUUAGGGAAGAACAAAUGUGUAAGUAACUAUGCACGUCUUGACGGUACCUAAUCAGAAAGCCACGGCUAACUACGUG